GGUGAGUAACGCGUAGGUAACCUGCCUUGUAGCGGGGGAUAACUAUUGGAAACGAUAGCUAAUACCGCAUAACAAUGGAUGACACAUGUCAUUUAUUUGAAAGGGGCAAUUGCUCCACUACAAGAUGGACCUGCGUUGUAUUAGCUAGUAGGUGAGGUAAUGGCUCACCUAGGCGACGAUACAUAGCCGACCUGAGAGGGUGAUCGGCCACACUGGGACUGAGACACGGCCCAGACUCCUACGGGAGGCAGCAGUAGGGAAUCUUCGGCAAUGGGGGCAACCCUGACCGAGCAACGCCGCGUGAGUGAAGAAGGUUUUCGGAUCGUAAAGCUCUGUUGUAAGUCAAGAACGGGUGUGAGAGUGGAAAGUUCACACUGUGACGGUAGCUUACCAGAAAGGGACGGCUAACUACGU
rnacentral:rRNA from 1 species